GUUGACGAGCGCGUGGGUCGUGUCUCGAAUCACCUCGCGUUCACUAUAGGAUAAUGCUUAAGAAGGCCAUGUCAUGUCACUAAGAUCAGUACAGAAUGUUUAUCUGCUAUACAGAGACACAAACAUGUUCUUCUGUUCAAGGGGACGAGUCUGCAAGUGUCUAGUUUCCACGACAAAUUGGCAUCUCCUGGCUGGGCUGCGCGAGUCUUUUCAGCUUUUCUGGACAACAAGCAAACCGGAGGACGCCCGUGGAAAGUUUCACCCUGAAUUCCAUGUUGACACGCAGGCAAGUUGCCCUUUAUUAUGCAGAGCGAAAGACCAAUGCAGCCUUACCAUUGACUGGUAGGAAUUAUCAAGAAUUUAGAAUUAGAAUUAGAAUUUUAUAAAGUCAUUGUGUAUUGCUGUCUGUGUGGAAGGUAGGGAUGUCACGAGAACCGAUACUUCGGUACCAACAUUGUUAAAACGUGACGGUACUUGUUUUUCUGCAGUACCUUUCGUAGCGAUUCGAAUGAAAGUACUGAGGUUGCAAUUCUACCGGAACUGAAGGGGGCAGCAAAUACGCGCAAGUGUUUUAGUCGGUCCACAAGUGGUGAAGAAGAAGAAGAACGCCUACACUCACACGGGAAAAACUACAGAAGAUUAGUUUAGCUUAACAAUUUUAGCUCCGCCCCGACUCAUUGAGUGGAAAGCUAGUAUUGGUUUCCGGUGUGCAACCGAUGCUAUCGUUCAUUUCAAACAAAGCGAGGAAACAUAUGGAAUUUGGAAAAGCACCUGAAAGACAGGUCCUAUAUUAUGUUUGUUUGAGGCAGCUGCAUUGUUGCCGUGAAACCAGCUAACGUUAUGCUCCAUGUAAUGUUUGCAAUAGACAGUUAUUUGUUAAGGACGCUAACGCAUUGCAAUGUUAUAAACUACCUCCGAAUGGGCCACCAUGCAUCGCCAUUCAGCCCGUGUCCUGUCAGCAAAAUGUAGCCUAAUGUCACUAAUAAUUAUUCGAAUGUUAAUGGUUUUAAUAAAUAUUUUUGGCCUGCCACUA